AGAGUUUGAUCAUGGCUCAGGAUGAACGCUAGCGGCAGGCCUAAUACAUGCAAGCUGAACGGCAAGAUUUGUAGCAAUACGAGUCCUAGAGUAGCGUAAGGGUGCGUAACACGUAUGCAAUCUGCCCGCAACAGGAGGAUAGCUUGAUGAAAGUUGAGAUAAGACUCCAUAAGAUCACAGGAGGGCAUCUGAUAGUGAUUAAACUACCAGGGGUUGCGGAUGAGCAUGCGCAUGAUUAGUUAGUUGGCGGGGUAACGGCCCACCAAGACAAUGAUCAUUAGGGGAACUGAGAGGUUGGUCCCCCACACUGGCACUGAGAUACGGGCCAGACUCCUACGGGAGGCAGCAGUAGGGAAUAUUGGACAAUGGGUGCAAGCCUGAUCCAGCCAUGCCGCGUGCAGGAAGAAAGCCUUCUGGGUUGUAAACUGCUUUUUUCUGGGGAUAAAAUACCCGUGCGCGGGGAAUGAAAGUACCAGAGAAUAG
rnacentral:rRNA from 1 species